UUUAUUGUUGAUGAAAAAAAUCAUGGAUUCAGCAAGAAAGUUCAGAAAUUGCAGGAACAAGAUAUUUUAGAUGAUGUUGUGACAUUGCCACCUUCUGGGACAUCGCUCAUGAAGCUAUAUAUGGACUGUCCAUUUUAUGGUUCAGUUGGUGACAAGCUGAUAGAUCUAUGUGAUUAUGUGAGGAGGACGAAGGGCAGGAGGUCAGAAGAGACCCGAGAAAGUGACAUGGCACCUCAUUGA
rnacentral:lncRNA from 4 species